GAUGAACGCUAGCGGCAGGCCUAAUACAUGCAAGUCGAGGGGUAGAAGAGGCUUGCUUCUUUGAGACCGGCGCACGGGUGCGUAAUGCGCAUGCCAAAUACCUUCAUCUGGGGGAUAGCAUGGAGAAAUCCGGAUCAAUACCGCAUUAAAUCACAGGAUGGCAUUAUACAAUGAUCAAAUAGUGAUGGAGUGGAGAUGGACAUGCGUGUCAUUAGCUAGUUGGCGGGGUAACGGCCCACAAAGGCGACGAUGACUAGGGGAUCUGAGAGGAUGGCCCCCCAACCUGGUACUGAGACACGGACCAGACUCCUACGGGAGGCAGAAGUAAGGAAUAUUGGUCAAUGGAGGCAACUCUGAACCAGCCAUGCCGCGUGCAGGAAGACUGCCCUAUGGGUUGUAAACUGCUUUUAUUCGUGAAUAAACCUUAUUACGUGUAGUAAGCUGAAUGUACCGAAGGAAUAAGGAUCGGCUAACUCCGUGCCAGCCGCCGCAGUAACAC
rnacentral:rRNA from 1 species